UGGAUAGACCCGAAAAGAGGUUUGUUCAAGUCAAUUUGGGUCACGAGAAAAGAAUGCACAACAAAAUAACUCGUUGGGUUGUUCCUUUCGUAUGUUUUCAGAACGAACCAGUGGAAGGAAAACUCACACUGAUGAAAGGCAUUCAGCUCGGGCUCCUCGCAGGAUUGAAGCAGCAGCUCCAACAGCUCGGCAUCGCCCAGGAUGGCCGCCGUGCCUACGGCAGUGCGUCCGCAAGUGGGCGAUACAUACGAGGCCUGGGCACCUUGCAUGAUGCAGCCCAGAGCCUGCUCGAAAUCUCCGCUCUGGACGGCGGUUAGCAGGCGUUCGUUGAGGUCGUAGGACAGCAUUUUGCCAUCGGGUUAGUAGUUUAGUUAGUUAGGCUAACUGAAGCUGGUUAGCGAAAAGGCGAAGCGAAAAGAACAAACCAAAUGAUAAGCAGCUGCUUGUGAGGAUGUGUGAAAAGUGCGUCGAUGUCGUCAGUGGCAGCAACACUCCCCCGGAAAGUCUCAUAGAGAAGUGAAACCAACCAUCCGACGUGCGCAGAAGCAGUACCAAUGGCUGCACAGCGGGUGGUGGUUUUUUCUUGUUUUUUUUUGGGCGGUUUGAAUUGGCCAGUCUAUUGAGCAAAUGGAGAGUACAAUAAAGAAGAAAUCAGCUGGCAGUUCGCUUCCAAGCGCACUCAGC